UCAUUUUGUUGCUUGCAGGUUAAUGGAAUGCAUUUUUGGAUUGUGUAUUUUGUAUAUUUUUUCUUGUUUUUUUUAUUCUUUUCCUUUGUAUAUGUUUGGAUUCUAGAAACUAAGUUUGAAAAUCUUGCAUGGUUUUGAAUCAUAUAUAUAGCAGCAUGACCUAUGUUGCCUCGAAAGGAAUUUCGAUAAAAGAUGUGAUAUGCAGUCUUCAGAAGAAGGAAUUUGAUGUCCUCUACUAGAUAGCAGACAUCCCUUCUUGGAAGCUUACAAGAUCAAGAUAAUUCUUGAAGAGAUGGAUUUCCUUAGUGUUCUUCAAAUGAUUCCUUCAUGUUUUCAACUAGCAAUGACAUUUUAGGAAUUCAAUCUGCCUAGAGGAUCAUGCUGAUAGUUCUUUUAUCCAGAACAUUGGUCUGUUGGGCUCCACUGUGGAUGGACCAUUUCAUAAUAUCUCCCAAGGUUAGAGAUCCUAGCAUUUCCUUAAGACUUUUGUACUUGUGUGCUUCUUUACACAUAUUCUGCCCGUGUUUUGGAGUGUAGAACUCCGUAGCGGCCAUGAGAUGAAACAUGAACUUGUACUUUUGUACUUGUGUGCUUCUUUACACAUGUGUGCUUGUUUUUUAGUGUAGAACUCCGUAGCAGCCAUGAGAUGAAACAUGAACUUCAUUCUUAGUUGAGAUCCAAGAGGCAAGGACACAAGACUUAAUAAUUUGGAAAAUUAUGUCUUGUUUUUGAAUCAUAAUUUCUUGUUUUGUUUCGACUUUGGAUGAUAUUUCCCAGCUCGUGCUUGAAUUAUUUGAAGUGCCUAUGAUGGCUUUAAAUAUACUUUUGAGUUAUAACUACGAAAAAAAAAAUGAUCAGAGGCACGUCUAUUUAUCUUUAUUUUUUUUUCUUAAUUAUUCUCUAUUCAAUUUCAGAUGAUUGCUUUCAACUUAGAGAAUAGAGGCUUUAUUACUAGAACUCUAUUUAUAACAAUUCACAUUUAUUUUAGAAAUAUUUGUGCCUGUGAUUUGUUUGCUUUUUGUGUAGAUUUUGAAUAAAAGGCUUUAUCAGCAUGCCUUGGCUGUCUUCUUGUGUUAAUUACAGCAAGAAGUGUGUUCGCUUGGUAGUGUUCUUUCGUGUCAUAUUGUAAGAUUCAAGCUUUUCCGGUAAGACCAAUAUCUCAAAAAUUUGUAAUUUUUUUAUUAUUUAUACAAUCUCAUCUUUUAUUG